UACGUAGGGGGCAAGCGUUGUCCGGAUUUAUUGGGCGUAAAGAGCGUGUAGGCGGCCAGGUAGGUCCGUUGUGAAAACUCGAGGCUCAACCUCGAGACGCCGAUGGAAACCAUCUGGCUAGAGUCCGGAAGAGGAGAGUGGAAUUCCCGGUGUAGCGGUGAAAUGCGUAGAGAUCGGGAGGAACACCAGAGGCGAAGGCGGCGACCUGGACAAGUACUGACACUCAACUACGAAAGCGUGGGGAGCAAACAGG
rnacentral:rRNA from 1 species